CACGUAGUUAGCCGGAGCUUCCUCCCCAGGUACCGUCAUCUUCGUCCCUGGGGACAGUAGUUUACAAUCCAGAGGACCGUCUUCCUACACGCGACGUCGCUGCAUCAGGGUUUCCCCCAUUGUGCAAUAUCCCCCACUGCUGCCUCCCGUAGGAGUCUGGGCCGUGUCUCAGUCCCAAUGUGGCCGUUCAACCUCUCAGUCCGGCUACCGAUCGUCGGCUUGGUGGGCCAUUACCUCACCAACUACCUAAUCGGACGCGAGCCCAUCUUCGAGCGAUAAAUCUUUGAUACAAAAGGGAUGUCCCUCUGUAUGUUAUGCGGUAUUAGCGACCGUUUCCAGCCGUUAUUCCCCUCUCGAAGGCAGGUUGCUCACGUGUUACUCACCCGUCCGCCACUAAACUAUACAAAAUUCCAUCCGAAAACUUCAUCUUGCAUACGUCCCGUUCGACUUGCAUGUGUUAGGCACGCCGCCAGCCGUUCGUCCUGAGCCAGGAUACGAAACUCU
rnacentral:rRNA from 1 species